CGCAGCAGCUCCCCACCUAAACUUGGAUUUCCUCUGCAGAUUUUAACUCCUCACCCUCCCCACUGUCAUUUUAAUAUUGCUACUCUAUUUCUUCCAGCUCUCCGAGAUGCCACUGGCAGAGAAGAGGCUGCAGAGGAUAAAACUGCUCAAUCUGAGCUGUUAUCUACCUGGGAUGCAGCUGGGAUGAACAUUUCCAUGCUCUGAAAUCUUUUUUAACACCAGGGGAGGAGAAAAACACCACUUCAAAUGCACCUCAUGAGGGACACCCUGAUAUUUCCGAUGCCUGGAUGUAGCAUCUGCGGGGGCUGCGAGAAGCUGAUCCUGUAAAUCUCCCCGUGUGCCGAGGAGGGGCACGGAUCCUGAUCUAGGUCAAGUCCAGGUGGCAGCAGCUGCCUGCUCUGAGAGGACACUGCCUGGAUCCCAAACCUGGCACUGAGCAACAGGGAAAAUGCAGCCCAGGAGGAGGAGGAGGAGGAGGAGGACAGAGCCUGAACACAGGACAGGCUUUGUCCUGGGAAACCAGGCUGGAUGCUCCAUCAAUCCCCCUCUGGCUGCUCCAUUCCACUGGCGCUGCUCCCGCUGCAUCAUUAAGGUGAAAUGGAUUUGGAUUUGGGGUGAAAAGGAGAGGAAGAAGGUUUUGCUGGAGGCUAAUUCAUCCGCACGAGGAGCCCCAUCUCCCAAUUCACCCCCCACUGCCAUGGGGGCAGCCCCCGGUGCUCUCUGCUUAAUGAGCUGAUCCUUCAAAAAGCAGCCCCAAAGGUGGGUGUCAGUGGUGUUGCUGCACAAAGGGAUUAGGAUGUGUUUGUUCAUCUCUGCUCUGUCAUUAAUUAAAGCAAUUAGCCCACACAGGCUUGGUGGGGUACAAAGCCAUCCUGCACCCCCUAGGAAGA